rnacentral:rRNA from 1 species
CAGUAGCCGCGGGAAUACAGAGGGUGCGAGCGUUAAUCGGAUUUACUGGGCGUAAAGCGUGCGUAGGCGGCUUUUUAAGUCGGAUGUGAAAUCCCUGAGCUUAACUUAGGAAUUGCAUUCGAUACUGGGAAGCUAGAGUAUGGGAGAGGAUGGUAGAAUUCCAGGUGUAGCGGUGAAAUGCGUAGAGAUCUGGAGGAAUACCGAUGGCGAAGGCAGCCAUCUGGCCUAAUACUGACGCUGAGGUACGAAAGCAUGGGGAGCAAACAGGAUUAGAUACCUUAGUAGUCCCUGUCUCUUAUAC